CAGGAUGAACGCUAGCGACAGGCUAACACAUGCAAGUCGAGGGGCAGCAUAGAAGUAGCAAUACUUGGUGGCGACCGGCGCACGGGUGAGUAACGCGUAUGCAACCUACCUAUCGAGAGGGGAAUAACCCGGCGAAAGUCGGACUAAUACCGCAUAAAACAGGGGCACCGCAUGGUGAUAUUUGUUAAAGAAAUUCGCUGAUAGAUGGGCAUGCGUUCCAUUAGGUAGUUGGUGAGGUAACGGCUCACCAAGCCGACGAUGGAUAGGGGAACUGAGAGGUUGGUCCCCCACACUGGUACUGAGACACGGACCAGACUCCUACGGGAGGCAGCAGUGAGGAAUAUUGGUCAAUGGGCGGGAGCCUGAACCAGCCAAGUCGCCGUGAAGGAAGAAGGAUCUAUGGUUCGUAAACUUCUUUUGCAGGGGAAUAAAGUGCAGGACGUGUCCUGUUUUGUAUGUACCCUGAGAAUAAGGAUCGGCUAACUCCGUGCCAGCCGCCGC
rnacentral:rRNA from 1 species